GACGAGCGCUGGCGGCGUGCCUAAUACAUGCAAGUAGAACGCUGAAGGAGGAGCUUGCUUCUCUGGAUGAGUUGCGAACGGGUGAGUAACGCGUAGGUAACCUGCCUGGUAGCGGGGGAUAACUAUUGGAAACGAUAGCUAAUACCGCAUAAUAGUAGAUGUUGCAUGACAUUUGCUUAAAAGGUGCAAUUGCAUCACUACCAGAUGGACCUGCGUUGUAUUAGCUAGUUGGUGGGGUAACGGCUCACCAAGGCGACGAUACAUAGCCGACCUGAGAGGGUGAUCGGCCACACUGGGACUGAGACACGGCCCAGACUCCUACGGGAGGCAGCAGUAGGGAAUCUUCGGCAAUGGACGGAAGUCUGACCGAGCAACGCCGCGUGAGUGAAGAAGGGUUUCGGAUCGUAAAGCUCUGUUGUAAGAGAAGAACGAGUGUGAGAGUGGAAAGUUCACACUGUGACGGUAUCUUACCAGAAAGGGACGGCUAACUACGUG
rnacentral:rRNA from 1 species